UACGAAGGGGGCUAGCGUUGUUCGGAAUUACUGGGCGUAAAGCGCGUGUAGGCGGGUCUUUAAGUCAGGGGUGAAAUGCCAGGGCUCAACCUUGGAACUGCCUUUGAUACUGGAGACCUUGAGUCCGGGAGAGGUGAGUGGAAUUGCGAGUGUAGAGGUGAAAUUCGUAGAUAUUCGCAAGAACACCAGUGGCGAAGGCGGCUCACUGGCCCGGUACUGACGCUGAGGUGCGAAAGCGUGGGGAGUAAACAGG
rnacentral:rRNA from 1 species